GAUGAACGCUAGCGGGAGGCCUAACACAUGCAAGCCGAGCGGUAUUGUUUCUUCGGAAAUGAGAGAGCGGCGUACGGGUGCGUAACACGUGUGCAACCUGCCUUUAUCUGGGGGAUAGCCUUUCGAAAGGAAGAUUAAUACUCCAUAAUAUAUUGAACGGCAUCGUUUAAUAUUGAAAGCUCCGGCGGAUAGAGAUGGGCACGCGCAAGAUUAGCUAGUUGGUGAGGUAACGGCUCACCAAGGCGAUGAUCUUUAGGGGGCCUGAGAGGGUGAUCCCCCACACUGGUACUGAGACACGGACCAGACUCCUACGGGAGGCAGCAGUGAGGAAUAUUGGUCAAUGGGUGCAAGCCUGAACCAGCCAUCCCGUGUGAAGGACGACUGCCCUAGGGGUUGUAAACUUCUUUUGGAUAGGGAUAAACCUACCCUCGAGAGGGUAGCUGAAGGUACUAUACGAAUAAGCACCGGCUAACUCCGUG
rnacentral:rRNA from 1 species